AUUGAACGCUGGCGGCAGGCCUAACACAUGCAAGUCGAACGAGUGGCGGACGGGUGAGUAACGUCUGUGAAACUGCCUGAUGGAGGGGGUUAACUACUGGAACCGGUAGCUAAUACCGCAUACCAUCAGAUGUUCCGAGAUGGGCUUAGCUUGUUGGUGGGGUAACGUCUCACCAAGGCGCCGAUCCCUAGCUGGGCUGAGAGGAUGACCGGCCACCCUGGAACUGAGACACGGCCCAGACUCCUACGGGAGGCAGAAUGGGGGAAGAUUGCACAAUGUGCGCAAGCCUGAUGCAGCCAUGCCGCGUGUAUGAAGAAGGCCUUCGGGUUGUAAAGGACUUUCAGCGGGGAGGCGUUACCCGCAGAAGAAGCACCGGCUAACUCCGUGCCAGCAGCCGCGGUAAUAC
rnacentral:rRNA from 1 species